rnacentral:rRNA from 1 species
UUUUUAAAUUGAGAGUUUGAUCCUGGCUCAGGAUGAACGCUGGUGGCGUGCCUAAUACAUGCAAGUCGUACGCUAGCCGCUGAAUUGAUCCUUCGGGUGAAGUGAGGCAAUGACUAGAGUGGCGAACUGGUGAGUAACACGUAAGAAACCUGCCCUUUAGUGGGGGAUAACA